CCUACGGGAGGCAGCAGUGGGGGAUAUUGCACAAUGGGGGAAACCCUGAUGCAGCGACGCCGCGUGUGGGAAGACGGUCCUCUGGAUUGUAAACCACUGUCCCCAGGGACGAAAAUGACGGUACCUGGGGAGGAAGCUCCGGCUAACUACGUGCCAGCAGCCGCGGUAAUACGUAGGGAGCGAGCGUUGUCCGGAAUUACUGGGUGUAAAGGGAGCGUAGGCGGGGAUGCAAGUUGGGUGUCAAAACUACCGGCUCAACUGGUAGUCGCACUCAAAACUGCAGCUCUUGAGUGAAGUAGAGGCAGGCGGAAUUCCUAGUGGAGCGGUGAAAUGCGUAGAUAUCAGGAGGAACACCGGUGGCGAAGGCGGCCUGCUGGACUGCAACUGACGUUGAGGCCCGAAAGCGUGGGGAGCAAACAGGAUUAGAUACCCGAGUAGUC
rnacentral:rRNA from 1 species